rnacentral:lncRNA from 1 species
CUCAUCUGCUUCGUUCAGGGGUAAAAGCAGUGAUUAGCAGCCUCAGCCUGCCUCGCCAUCCCUCUCUCCUUAACUGGUCCUGUUUCUAGCUCCCUUUCUCCUCCCACCCUCACCUGGGUGCAUGACGGACUCCCCUGGCGCACAGCUGUGCUCCAUGCACUUGAGGAACAGAAUUAUGUACAGUCACGAGGCGACAGCAUGAAAGGUCAGAAACAAAGGAAGAGGGUCUGCGGAGGAGCCCGCCCCCAACCCAGGCUGCAGCUGGGGCUGCUGCAGGUGGGUAGCCAGGGAAGCGGGGUGGGCCCGGCCACCUGCUCUUCAAUAAAGGCCAGGGUGGCCACUACAGACUUGAGAGACAUGAAAACCAAAUGCCAUUAACGUUGAUACUGAUUCAAACAAACCCAUCUGUCAAAAAACAAACAAAAACACGCAGCUUUGAGAAAAACGGAAAGAUUAGAAUAUGGAUGGGGUAUUAGGGAAAAUUAUGAAAUUGUUAAUUUGUUAAGUGUUAUGACAACAAGGUGGUUAUAUAUCUAUUUGUUUUGUUUUUGUUUUUGGCAGGGGGGAAGCAGGCGCUCAACCACUGAGCUACAUCUGCUCCCUAAUGAGAGCUGGUUUUUCCAUUUGUUUUUAGGAGGUACCAGGGAUUGAACCCAGAACCUUGGAUGUGGGAAGCAGGUGCUCAACUACUUGAGCUAUAUCUGCUCCCCAAAUGAUUUUUAACAAAGGUACAAAAAUAAUUCAAUGGAGAGAAGGUAGCCUUUUCAACAAAGGGUGCUGCUUUGAUUGGACAUCCACAGACCAAAAAAAAAAGAAACUUGACCUAAACCUCACACCUUAUAUAAAGUAGCUCAAAAUGGAUCACAGACUGAA